UUCUCAUUAGCUCAAUGGUAGAGCAGAAUACUUCUAAUAUUCCGAUUCUAGUUCGAAUCUAGGAUGAGAGU
rfam:Verticillium dahliae VdLs.17 supercont1.55 mitochondrial scaffold, whole genome shotgun sequence.